rnacentral:rRNA from 1 species
CCUACGGGAGGCUGCAGUGGGGGAUAUUGCACAAUGGGGGAAACCCUGAUGCAGCGACGCCGCGUGUGGGAAGACGGUCCUCUGGAUUGUAAACCACUGUCCCCAGGGACGAAGAUGACGGUACCUGGGGAGGAAGCUCCUGCUAACUACGUGCCAGCAGCCGCGGUAAUACGUAGGGAGCGAGCGUGUUCCGGAAUUACUGGGUGUAAAGGGAGCGUAGGCGGGGAAGCAAGUUGGGUGUCAAAACUACCGGCUCAACUGGUAGUCGCACGCAAAACUGCAGCUCUUGAGUGAAGUAGAGGCAGGCGGAAUUCCUAGUGUAGCGGUGAAAUGCGUAGAUAUUAGGAAGAACACCAGUUGCGAAGGCGGCCUGCUGGGCUUUUACUGACGCUGAGGCUCGAAAGUGUGGGGAGCAAACAGGAUUAGAUACCCGGGUAGUC